UAGUCUCGCACAGAUGCAUAUCAAUAAGCGGAGGAAAAGAAACUAACAAGGAUUCCCCUAGUAACGGCGAGUGAAGCGGGAAGAGCUCAAAUUUGAAAUCUUAAAGGUUUUACCUUGACGAAUUGUAGUUUAAAGAAGUGUUUUCUGUUGAAGUUUUGGUAAAAGUUCUUUGGAAUAGGACAUCAUAGAGGGUGAGAAUCCCGUAUUUGACCAUUAUUUUCAGCUGUGUGAUACACUUUCAAAGAGUCGGAUUGUUUGGGAAUGCAGUCCAAAAUGGGUGGUAAAUUUCAUCUAAAGCUAAAUAUUGGCGAGAGACCGAUAGCGAACAAGUACCGUGAGGGAAAGAUGAAAAGAACUUUGAAAAGAGAGUUAAACAGUACGUGAAAUUGUCAAAAGGGAAGCGUUUGACACCAGUGUUGUUUUCUCGAAAAUCAAUUAAAAAGAGUUAGAUUUUGUUGUGUAUUGACCUUAACAGCUUGCAUUUCAAUUUUCUUGCUUUUUUUAAUGCACUUUUCGUUUAACAAGUCAACAUCAGUUUCUUUUGUUGUAAAAAGGUCAUUGGAAGGUGGCUUUCUUUUCGGAGAAAGUGUUUAUAGCCUUUGACUCCUGCAAUCGGAGAGACUGAGGUCUGCAGCGUAGAUCCUUCGGGGUUAGAUACAUUUGUGCUAAGUUAUAGCUUUUUAUAGACAACUUGUUGACUAUGAUUAGUCUUGUAGCUUACUCGCUUAUGCUAUUUUACCUACGCUUAGGAUGUUGAGCGCAUGUCUCUCUCU
rnacentral:rRNA from 1 species